rnacentral:rRNA from 1 species
UAGGGAAUCUUCCACAAUGGGCGCAAGCCUGAUGGAGCAACACCGCGUGAGUGAAGAAGGGUUUCGGCUCGUAAAGCUCUGUUGUUGGAGAAGAACGUGCGUGAGAGUAACUGUUCACGCAGUGACGGUAUCCAACCAGAAAGUCACGGCUAACUACGUGCCAGCAGCCGCGGUAAUACGUAGGUCCCGAGCGUUGUCCGGAUUUAUUGGGCGUAAAGCGAGCGCAGGCGGUUAGAUAAGUCUGAAGUUAAAGGCUGUGGCUUAACCAUAGUAGGCUUUGGAAACUGUUUAACUUGAGUGCAAGAGGGGAGAGUGGAAUUCCAUGUGUAGCGGUGAAAUGCGUAGAUAUAUGGAGGAACACCGGUGGCGAAAGCGGCUCUCUGGCUUGUAACUGACGCUGAGGCUCGAAAGCGUGGGGAGCAAACAGGAUUAGAUACCCUGGUAGUCCACGCCGUAAACGAUGAGUGCUAGGUGUUAGACCCUUUCCGGGAUUUAGUGCCGCAGCUAACGCAUUAAGCACUCCGCCUGGGGAGUACGACCGCAAGGUUG